AUUGAACGCUGGCGGCAGGCCUAACACAUGCAAGUCGAGCGAUCGGCGGACGGGUGAGUAAUGUCUGGGAAACUGCCUGAUGGAGGGGGAUAACUACUGGAAACGGUAGCUAAUACCGCAUAACAUCAGAUGUGCCCAGAUGGCAUUAGCCAGUAGGUGGGGUAACGGCGUACCUAGGCGACGAACCCUAGCUGGUCUGAGAGGAUGACCAACAACACUGGAACUGGGACACGGUCCAGGAUACUACGGAAGGCAGCAGUGGGGAAUAUUGCACAAGGGACGCAAGCCUUAUGCAGCCAUGCCGCGUGUGUGAAGAAGGCCUUCGGGUUGUAAAGCACUUUCAGCGGGGAGGCGUUGCCCGCAGAAGAAGCAACGGCUAACUCCGUGCCAGAAGCCGCGGUAAAUC
rnacentral:rRNA from 1 species